ensembl:lncRNA
CACUGACUCACCUACUAAUUUAUUUAGCUCCUGCAAAUAACCUACUCUGGAGAACCAUAAAGGUUUAAUGUUAGUCUUCUAAUAUUCCUAAGAUUGCAUAAAGAGGGAGGAUACACUAAUACAAAUGUCGAAACCAACAUUAGAAAAAUAAAUGAGUAAGAGCUACAGGUAUAGUAACAACAAUGGCAAAGUAUUAGUAAUGGUUACAACAAUAAGCAGUUCUUUAGCAGUUGUACAAGGAAGUGAAACAUUUCCUGGAAAAUGAAACAUAAAGGUGAGUGUCAUGGGUGUGGUGCACAUACUGAACUAUCUGUCUGACUGCUCAAACACGGUGAUCGUCGCUCUAGAAGGUUUUCUCGAAUUUGUUGAACCAUGGAAACCGGAACGAUCAGCGAAUCGGUAAAUGUCUUUAUUUUUCCUUUUUUUCUUUAAAAAAAAAGUACAUUGACUGAGUUAAAGCAAAUGAAAUUACUGCACUUAUAUAUGUAAAACCUACUAAUUUGGAAUUUCUUUUUUUUUUUUUUUUUUUUUAAAUAUAAGAACACACAAAAGAAAGCUUUCACAAAGAGGAAAUGCAGUAAAAGUUACUUUCAACAAGAAUCAAAAAGAUUGAAGACUUAAGAUCAGCCGGUUUAUUAUUAAUCAAUUGCUUACUGGUAAAGGUAAUAAAAACAAAAAACUGGACAAUCUCUUUGUCCACAUUGAUGAGAUGCUUCAUAGCAUUUUCUUCCUCGGGUACAUUUAUAACCCCAAGUUGACUCCCAGUGAGUUCUUCAGAAAAUCUACAAUAGAUAAAUUGAAGGAAUUGUUUCCUGAGUCAUCACAAAAUCUUACACUUGAAUUGAAGGAUGAAUUGAUGGAAUUGUUUCCUGAGCCAUUUGAGAAGUACAAAAGUCAUCUGCCAACUCGCACACCCUUUUCCAUUCUGCUAAACAUGAUGGAGAUACUUUAUGGCACUGAAGACAAAAUAAAAGAAAAUCUUCAGCUUCUGCUUAAAGAACUCAAAUUCCCAUACCCCCUUCACAAGUCAGGCGAUGAAUAUCAGCAUUAUUACACACUGGAGGCGACAGUAAUCUGUGUGUGUUAUUCAGAAACUCAUUUACAAAAGAAGUACUACGGGGCAUCUCUUUCCUGCAGAUUACGAAAGGCAAAGAGAAUUUUGAUCGACCUGUCUUGUCUUAAAACAUGGCAUGAGUUUGUAUCUCAUGCAGUCAUGUCAUUUACUUCAGGAGAUCGGUACAAUGGCAUAACAUUCCCUGAGUCAGUGAAAUGUCAGGCGUACAUUAGAGACUGGAAUGAAAAUGUUUAUAGAAAAAGACGUCCAUGUUUAAAUUGUGCACAACUGUUUAAUCUACAAGAUGCAGACUUAGGUAGCGUGAAUCAUCCCUAUGGGAACUGUGCUGAGACAGAGUGCUUGAGCAAACUACUUUGCGAUAAUAAAGACAUACGAGAGAACACACGGAUGGAAAAUCAUACAGAGGAAAACUUGGAGAAUCUCAGAGAUUCAACAAAAGCACGCGUGCUAAAUGAUCUUGCUGAGGUUGGCAUUCAAAUGAAUAAUGAGAAUUUUCUCUUCUACAGCCCAAUGCCAAUGCCACCUUUCUAAGUAUACUAGUAGUUAUAUCAUACACUUUCUGUCAAACUGUCAAUCAAAGUGUUGUGUGUGAUAAUUUAUGACCCUCUGUGCUUCCCUGACUGACAGGUCUGUAGGGGUGGUGAGGGGGGUAACCCUAUGUAGUUUAUCAGAUGAUCAAUCUGGCUCCUUUGUGUCUGGGGGUGUUGUGGAGAGGUGUGUGUUGGGGGGGGGGGGAUAGUCCCCCUCCCAACGAAAGGUGUUUAUGUUAAUGAGUUUGGUUUUUGGUGGGGUAAAACACGUAUGAAAAUAAAUGAUGUUUUAAUAUGGGGAUGUGUUUGUGUUACUUUGUGGCGUUAUUUCGUUUGUGUAAACACAUUGUUAGAAAAGCAUGAUGUUUGAAUGUGUACAUAUAUGAGUAGAAUAUUUGUUUUGUGAAAUAAAUGAAAACAAUUGUUGAUUAUGUUUUUUAGGGAUCCCGUUUUACCUUUGAAUAAAAAGUUUAGAGUUAAAGCGUCUUUUUUUUUUUUUUUAAAGAAUCUGUUUAAAAUAAUCGUUUGUAUUACAUACAUUCUAAACACAAACCUUUAGGAUGUAAAAAUGAUCAAAAGAGCUGUUUAAAAAGAAUCCGUAUUACUAGGUUUCCAAAAAAACACAUAAAAACUUUAGGAGGUAAAAAUGGUUAAAAGAGCUGUUUAAAAGAAUAGCGCAUAUUACACGACUUCUAAACAAAGAUCCUUACGAGGUAAAAAUGUUAAAGUGCUGGUUAAAAGAUGUUUAAACUAGGAGAUUUUUUCCAGAGUUGUCUUCCAGUCGCUGUGUUAAGCAGUAAUGAAGUUAAACUGAGACACCUCACUCUCGCUAAACCCCGCCCACACAUACGUGUUUUCAGACACGCCCCUCUCUCUCUCUCUCUCUCUCUCUCUCUCUCUCUAAACACACCCAUACACGUGUUUUCAUCGUAGCCAGUAGGUUCUGUCAAAAUGUCAAUCACGGCGGUAGAACUAGAGGGCUAAUUUAUGGUUUGUGUUUUUCCUGACCGACAGUUCUGUAGGCACACCUAAUUUAUGGCCAGGGGUGGUGGGGGUAACCCUAUCCACUGUAUCAGUGGGUCUUUUUGGCACCUGUAUGUCUGGGUUGUGUCCUUCCAUUCCUGGGGGUGUGUGUUUUGUGUACUGUGGGGGAUCUCCCCCAACAAAUGUGUUUAUGUUAAUGACACUGUUGUGAAACGUGUUUCUCCCUGAAUUAAUCACACACAAAUGUAUACCUUUUUGUGGUAUAAGAGAAUGUUUGUUUCUGAACUUACUUUUGUGGUAUUGUUUUAUUUUGAAGCUUAAGGGUGGUUUAGGUGAAAUAUGUCUGAAAAGAAUAUCAAUGUUUAAUAUGAGCGUGUGUUUUUGUUACUGUGUGGGUUAUUUUGUUUGUGUAAACACAUUGUUAGAAAAGCAUGAUGGUUGAAUGUGAAUAUAUAUGAGCAGAAUGUUUGCUUGUGAAAUAUAUGAAAAAACUGUUGAUUACGUGUUUGAGAGAACGGCAUGACUUUGAAUAAACAUUUACUGAAAUAAAAACC